GGCCAUGUAGCUUUAAGGAAAGUAGCCCCAGCUUAAGAUAAAGGCUCUUUAUCUGGGGUAGAUGUUGGUUCGAAUCCAGCCAUGGCCG
rnacentral:tRNA from 1 species